AGUAUUUUAUACGGAAAUUCUUUCGAAACAACAUUUACACAGAAUGGAAAGACAAUACAGAAAUUCGCUGAAAAGGCAAAAAAUAAUUUUAACGAUGCAAAGAAGUUAUUAGUAACACCAGAAUGCAUGAUGAAGAUGCACCCAGCAUGGAAACGUCACAAUAAGAGAUGGAAUUUUCUACUGAAAACAACUAUGGAUAUGAUUGAAAGGCAUUCAAACGACACAUCUGAUUAUAGUAUUCUAUCACAUCUGUUGCAUAACAGAAAACUCAGCGAUAAAGAAAUCUACAUAAACUUGACGGAUUUACUUGUUGCCAGCAUUGAUACAACAAAUACAGCAUUACAAUGGUGUCUCCAUGAACUUGCAUGUCAUCCUGAUGCACAGGAUACAAUUCUUUCUGAAUCUGAAAGGAUAUUAGAUGGACGAUCAAGUUUGGAGAAGACUGACUUGGAUAAAUUAGAUUUCCUCAGUGCUGUUCUUUGUGAAACUUUAAGGUUGAAACUCAAAUUAUAAGUUAUAAGAUUAAUUGAUUAAACUAAAACGAAAUUUGGUAUGCCUCAUAUAAUAUCAAUUCUUUAUUAACGUCGUAAUUAUAUUUCAGACCGUUUUCUAAUAUAUACUAGGGAAACUCACAGUAAAACAUGACAGACACUUCUUUAUAAUAGUAAGGUGGUAUCAAU